GGUGAACCUGCGGAAGGAUCAUUAUUGAAUACACACAGGAUUGUUGCUGGCUAGAUUGAUUUCUAGCAUUGUGCACGUCCAUCAUCUUCAAUUACACACACACUUGUGAACCUAUUGUAGAUCGCAAGAUCUAUGUCUUUAUUCAUCACAUAUCCCAUCGUAUGUCUACAGAAUGAUUAUAAAUAUAAUACAACUUUCAGCAAUGGAUCUCUUGGUUCUCGCAUCGAUGAAGAACGCAGCGAAUUGCGAUACGUAAUGUGAAUUGCAGAUUUUCAGUGAAUCAUCGAAUCUUUGAACGCACCUUGCGCCCCUUGGUAUUCCGAGGGGCAUGCCUGUUUGAGUGUCAUUCAAUUAUCAACCAUUUAGUUCUUUGAUUAGGACUUUUUGGAUUGGACUUGGGAAUUGCUGGCCUAACAGUCAGCUGUCCUUAAAUAUAGUAGCAAGUGAAAGUAGUUUUACGUGGCACGGCCUUUGACGUGAUAAUGAUCGUUGUGGGGCUGGAAACGUUUAAUUAUGCUAGUAGUUUGCUUUUUAAUACUUAACAAGUGGAUUUAUGUAUGCAAUACAGCUGGAAAGCAUUAGUAAUGGAAGCUCGAGUGAAAAGUGAGCUAUGUUAUAAAAGGCAUGGUAAAUGGAAGCUUGAGUGAAAGUGAGGAUGUGUAGUAAGUUGGAAGGCAUAGCAUUUGAAGCUAGUUAAACAAGGAAUUGAAAAAAAAAAAACAAGUGCAACAAGCUGGAAAGCAUUAGUAAUGGAAGCUCCUUAGUUAAUAGUGAGCCCAUGGUGUGCCCCUGGUAGUAAUGAAAGCUUUGAGUGAAAGUGAGGAUGUGUAGUAAGGCUUGGAAGCGCAUAGUUAUUGAAAAGCUAGUUAAAGUAAAUUCCGACUUGAAAAUUGACCUCAAAUCAGGUAGGACUACCCGCUGAACUUAAGCAUAUCAAUAAGCGGAGGAAAAGAAACUAACAAGGAUUCCCCUAGUAACUGCGAGUGAAGCGGGAAAAGCUCAAAUUUUGAAUCUGGCAGUC
rnacentral:rRNA from 1 species